rnacentral:piRNA from 1 species
UAGGGAUGAGAGCCUCAAAAUUAAAUGGUCU